AUACUUUCAACAACGGAUCUCUUGGUUCUGGCAUCGCUGAAGAACGCAGCGAAAUGCGAUAAGUAAUGCGAAUUGCAGAAUUUCCGUGAGUCAUCGAAUCUUUGACGCACAUUGCGCCACUGGUAUUCCGGUGGGCAUGCCUGUUCGAGCGUCAUU
rnacentral:rRNA from 1 species